rnacentral:antisense_RNA from 1 species
GUCUGGAGUCAAGUUAGCCCCCGUGAUGUUGCCGGUUUAUACCAAACAACGUGCGGGGGUUUUCU